rnacentral:rRNA from 1 species
GAAGCUGGAAUCGCUAGUAAUCGCGGAUCAGAAUGCCGCGGUGAAUACGUUCCCGGGUCUUGUACACACCGCCCGUCACACCAUGGGAGUCGGAAAUGCCCGAAGUCUGUGACCCAACCAUUAAGGAGGGAGCAGCCGAAGGCAGGUCGGAUGACUGGGGUGAAGUCGUAACAAGGUAAC